UAGGGAAUCUUCGGCAAUGGACGAAAGUCUGACCGAGCAACGCCGCGUGAGUGAAGAAGGUUUUCGGAUCGUAAAACUCUGUUGUUAGAGAAGAACAAGGACGUUAGUAACUGAACGUCCCCUGACGGUAUCUAACCAGAAAGCCACGGCUAACUACGUGCCAGCAGCCGCGGUAAUACGUAGGUGGCAAGCGUUGUCCGGAUUUAUUGGGCGUAAAGCGAGCGCAGGCGGUUUCUUAAGUCUGAUGUGAAAGCCCCCGGCUCAACCGGGGAGUGUCCUUGGAAACUGGGAGACUUGAGUGCAGAAGUGGAUAGUGUAAUUCCCUGUGUAGCGGUGAAAUGCGUAGAUAUAUGGAGGAACACCAGUGGCGAAGGCGGCUCUCUGGUCUGUUACUGACGCUGAGGCUCGAAAGCGUGGGGAGCAAACAUG
rnacentral:rRNA from 1 species